CUAUCUCUAUCAUUUUCUCAGAAAUACAUACAGUCACAUAUUUUAUACAUUACAGUAUUAUUACUAAAUGAAUUUUGUACACUAAAAAAAGUAUUUGAAGAAUUUCAACUAAUUUAUGUAUAUAUUCCUUCCUUAAGAAUGUAGAAUGUAAACUCCCCACUCUAAGUGUGGGCUGCUCAUAGGGGCUCUGUUCUAAAGAGUACAGUAUGGAAAAGCAUCUCACAACUGAAUACAGUAUGCAUUUUUAUGUUUCUUGAGUAAAUAUAUUUACUCUGUCCAUCUAUUUUUUAAGUCUUUAAAAUAUAAAACAUUAUUACUUAUGGGACUAGGGAAAAACUUAAAAAAGAAAGGAAGAUUUAUAUUGGCAUAUGCAUAUUGUUUUUAUGGUAUAGGACAGUAACUAUACAGCAGAGAAGACUGAGACAUACUACCCUCAGUCAGGUGAUCAACUGUGGUAAGUCAUGUUGAUAAGUCAUCAGUGAUCACAUUCAUAGCCUAUGGCCUUGAUAUCAGGUGAUGAAAAUAGUGAUUUACCUCUGUGCUCUUCCUCCCCAAAUCUUCCCAAACCCUUGUCUAGCUGUGCGAAAAACAUCAGACAAACCUAAAUUAAAGGACAUUGUACAGAAUGUUUGACCUGCACCCCUCAAAAUGCCAAGGUUAUCAAAACACAAGAGAAGCUAGAGAAACUGUCACAAUCUAGAGGAGCCUAAGAAGACUUUAUAACUAAAUGUCAGAUGGCUCCUGGAUGGGAUUCUUAAGCCAUAAAAGGACAUUUGGAAAAAGCAAGGCUGUCUAAAUGAAGAAUAGAAUUUAGUUAUUAAUAAUGUAUUACUAUUCUUAUUAGUUGUGACAAAGUUCUAUAGUAAUUUGGGUAUUAAGUAACAUGCUUGUUUUUUUCUGUAGUUCCAAAAUUAUCCUAAGAAAAAGUUUAUUAUAUGUUUUUAAAAAGUAUUCUUUGUGUGGGACAUAAUAAUUUGACCUCAAAUCAGCAAUACAAAAUAGCUUACAAUAAGCUGCAAAUGUGGGAUGUGUAACUGUUGGACUAACAUCACCUAACAUGUCCCAGGUUAGGGAGAAGAGGUUUCUGAACAGAAGCGUAGAGGUUGUUUGUUUGUUUGUUUGUUUGAGACGGAGUUUCGGUCUUGUUACCCAGGCUGGAGUGCAAUGGCGUGAUCUCAGCUCACCGCAACCUCCGCCUCCUGGGUUCAGGCAAUUCUCCCGCCUCAGCCUCCUGAGUAGCUGGGAUAACAGGCACGCGCCACUGUGCCCAGCUAAUUUUUUGUAUUUUUAGUAGAGAUGGGGUUUCACCAUGUUGACCAGGAUGGUCUCGAUCUCUUGACCUUGUGAUCCACCCGCCUCGGCCUCCCAAAGUGCUGGGAUUACAGGUGUGAGCCACCGCGCCUGGCCAGAAGUGUAGAGUUUAUCAUGCUGAUCAGACAGGGACAGAGGUGGCCCUAGAAACCAGACCUGCCCAAGAAACAGCUGCAGAAGUGGGAGGAUGCAUAGUGAGACAGAUGUAAAAUAGUAUCCAGAGAAAGGAAAAGGAUCAGAGUUGGUGAGGCUCAGCAAGACAUAACUUAAAAGUUUUUUAAGUGAGUAGAAGAGAACAUAGAAGCAAUGGAAAUGUCUGUGGACCACUUUCCAGCAGUACCUAUUUUUAUGUUUCUGUGCCCUUAUAAAUGCUGCUGCUUCUGCCUGGAACACCCUUCUUUUCCCUUUUCAUGAACUCUCUUUCUUUCUUUACAGUUGAGUUAUGAUAUUACCUCUUUGGGGAAUGGUUUCUAAAUCUCCCAGUUGAGCUAGGUGCCCCUCCAAUGUCUUUCUAUGAUCUCUUGAACUUUCUAUUAGAGCAACAGCUCUGUUGACCUGAACUAUGUCUGUUUAUCUGUGUGUCUUCUGUACUAAUUAGUGAAUUUCUUCUUGGCAUGGACUCUGUCUUUUUUGUUUGAAUCUCUGUAUGCUCCAUGUGUGGUGCAAAGUGCAGUUAAAGUAAAUACACUCUGUGCUUGAAGAAUAGAGAGACUGGAAAAAUGACACAGGGCACCCAUCUUGGAGCCAUUCAAGUAUUUGACAGGUUAUCAACAGAGAAGGACCUAGACUGUUAUAUUUUGUGAUUCAGUAUAGACACCAUGGGCCAUGUGGCAAUCCUCAAUUAAUACCUUGCAUUAUUCGGAUCCUAACACUUGACCUACACAUAAUCUGCAAACACACAACCAAAAGUUGAUCUUAGGGAAUUGAAAGAAACUAGUGACACAAAAAUGACAAAUUGUAGGAAAAUAAGACUUCAGGAAAACUGUAUGGAAAUUCCUCAAUGAAUUAAAAAUAGAACUGCCAUUCAGACCAGGAAUUUAACUACUGGGUAUCUAUCUACCCAAAGGAAAAUAAAUUAUUUUAUCAAAAAGACACCUGCACUUAUAUACUCACAUGUUUAUCACAGCACUAUUCACAGUAGCACAGUCAUGGAAUCUGCCUGGGUUCAUCAACAGUGGGUUAGGUAAAGAGAAUGUAAUGUGUGUGUAUCUACUUACACCAUGGAACUAAAUGUCAAUGAAAGGAAUGAAAUUAUGUCAUUAGCAGCUACAUUGAGACAGCUGGAGGCCGUUAUCCUAAGUGAAAUAACUCAAACAGAAAAUCAAAUACUGCACAUUCCUACUUAUAAGUGGAUGCCGAACACUGAAUAUACAUGGACAUAAAGAUGGAGACAACAGACAGUGGGGUCUCCAAAAGCAGGGAGGGUAAGAGGGAGGGAAAAUCCCUAUUGAGUUCUAUGUUGACUAAGUGGGUGUUGGGUUCUCUAGAAGCUCAAGCCCCAGCAUUAUGCAUUAUACUCAUGUAACAAACCUACACAUAGGCAACUUUCCUUGAAUCUCUAAUUUAUAAAAGACUUCAGAAGAAAUGAUAAAGAAGUUAGUACUUUGUUUCUUUAGAGGUCUAGAGGAGAAGGCAAUUUUAUAAAAAUCUAGGCUAGGCAAGGAAUUUCCAUUUGCUCCGGAAACAGAAGAGGCAAUGAGCUCAAACUUGUCUACAAGGAAAAAUUAUCCAUCAGUAACAACUGUUUAUCUGUAAGAUUCAUUUAGGGAAGUGGUCAUACAACUAUAUUCAGGAUAGAUUUUUAUCUACUGGGGUUAGUUCCUGCUUAAUCCUGUAUGAAGUUAAGUCAGGGAGCUAAAUGACUGCUGCAAACUGCUUUGUCCAGCCCUGAGAUUCAAUGAUUCCAUUGGUGAGAGUCCAUUUCUACUUAUAACAUCCAUCCUGGAGAUGUGUGAUUCUGAAAGUAAACUUUAAGAUAAAGCAUUACAGUUUGGAUCUUCCGAAAUGAUCUCCUCUAAGUUGUUCUACACGCUUGAGCCUCUGAUGGUCGUGAAUCACUGCUAAUCUCUUAGAAACAUAUUUCUCCAGAUAACAUCAGUUUCUCUCAGAAUACGAAGAGGAUUGCAUUUCUUUUAUGCUUCUGGUGAGAAUAAAUGUAGACAUUUCCUUGAGACAGAAGAAGUUAAGAUCACUUGGGGUUGAUAUCUGGCUCAUAAACAGACAGUUCUUUGUGUAUAAACCCAGCUGACCCAAAGCAGCAUCUGGCUUGUUCCUUGCAGUAAUUGUGUGUUAAGACAAAACUUCCCAUAUUUUCCUUUACUCACAUAUGCCAGUCGCCACUACACUGCACAGACUCUAUCUCCUUUGACAGCCUGGUAACUUAUUCGAUUGUCUUUUAUAGCAAUCUCUGAAGAUAUGAUGCUAAUGCUAAUACUAUGAGAAUAUUUAUCCUGGGUGUUAUUUAACUAGUUAUGAAAGCACUUGAAGUUUUACAACAGCCAAAUAAAUUCUGUUAUUAUGCCAUUUCAAGGACUGUGAAGUCUGUUCUAAGUAACAGCAGAAGGGGUGCUCCCCUUCACUUUUCCUGUUUAUUUCUGCAUUUAGAUCUCUGGAAGAAAAGGCAAUUCAGACAACCUAAAAACAAAAGGCAAGAUGAGCAUAUUCAAGUUUCCUUUUGACCUUGUAGCUCUGAUAUGCAAGUAGCAAAUUGUCAUUUGAAAAAUAAACCCUCUCAACUACCACCCCAGCUCCUGCUUUUAUAAGGAAAAAGAAGCCCGAGGCAAACAUACUCAACUAUUCUAGGAAAAAUUUAAAAUAUGUAUGCAGCCAUGGGGAAUUCCAGUAUGUGAAUGGAAAUACACAGUUCCAAAUGCAAGCUGCUGUUAGGGUUACUGUGCUCUGACCACUUAGGCCGAAAGUGAAAGAGGCAUUAAUUAAGUAAUAACGAUCAAGGUAUGGAGCAUUUCCUGGGGAUUAAUGACCAGCUGGGGGAGUUGAUAGCCCACAGUGCAGCCAAGAGCCAUUAACCCCAGCUGGUCAUCAAUUCCUGGCCCUGUGUUAUAGUCAUUAUUGCUAUCAUAAGCCAAAAAUGAAAAGCAAAUGGGUCUAUGGAUUACUUUUAUGGAUGAUGCUGUUUCAAUUGGUAUCUACAGGGCAUUCCUGGAGAAUGGAUGCUCCCUCUCUGAGCCAAUCAGGUGUUUUGACAUUCCAUUCUACUUAGGCUGCUGCCUGGGAGGAAUGGAGGGUGAAUGAGGUAGGCAGCCAACGGUUGAAAAGUUUCAGGUCUCUGUUGACACUUGAGAGCUAUCGAAACCAUAAAGAUCACAUGGAGGAAGAUUUGGGAAAAGAAAAGGAAAUGUGCUAUAUAGUUAGGUGGGUGUGUUUUCCUGCGGAUGCCACAGUUUAGUGUCUUUUACUAUGAAGUGGAGUAAAAUCAUUGGAUGGUAAUGAGCUUCGUAGAAGACAGAAAGUGCCAAUUUACAGUAGGACAGAGGGAGAUGAAAGGACAGUGUACUCUAUUGGAAAAAAAAAUCCCAUACAUUAAAAUAAGGAAUAUGGAGGGACUGUCAGCCUACAGUGAUCAGGUUGGACAGAUAGAAAUUAAUUAUAUUUGGUUUAAGAAGCUGCUUCUGCAGCCUUGGUCAAUUUUAAAAAGCACAUUAGAAGAUACCUCAAACUGACUUUCCAAUUACCAUGGAUGACAGCAAAGUGCGUUGAAACAAAACUCAUUUUAAAUGGGUAAAUGCAUUCAAUGCUGACUGACAAUAUUUUCAAAAUUCAUAAAUUUCAUCCCUGGUCAAGGUACUUUGAAGGAGAUUCCAAGGAGAGUUGACUUCUGCUAAAGAAGAAUAAUAGUAAUGGGAGCCCUCCCCCAUCAAAUUAAUAAUCUCAAAUGCAGUGGGACCGUAUAUGUCUAUGCACAUGUCAGAGGAUGCGGGGAGCAAAUAAAUAUUAAAUUGAAAAAUGAUUUUGUACCACAAUUUUAAUUGUAGAAAAAAAUUACAAAGGGAUGGAGAAAGAUUUACCAACCAAAUGGAGAGCAAAAAUAAAUGAAUAAAUAAAAAGCAGGAGUUGCAAUUCUCAUAUCUGAUAAAAUAGAUCUUAAAGCAACAAAGAUAUAGUGGUAAAAGGAUCAAUGCAACAAGAAGAGCUAAUGAUCCUAACACCCAGAUACAUAAGACCUAUAAAGAGACUUAGACUCAACGAGACAGAAAAUUAAUAAGGAUGUCAAGGACUCGAACUCAGAUCCGGAACAAGUAAACUUAAUAAAUAUUUAUAGAGCUCUCCACUUUAAAUAUACAAAAUAUACAUUCUUGUCAAUACCACAUCACACCUACUCAUAGGUUUAAAUGAAACAUUGAUUGGCCAUUAUUAAUAUCCAUUUUUUUUAGCAUAAAGCAACAUUUCUCUUCUCUCUCCCUCUUUUUCUUCCUCUUUCUUCCUCUCCUUCACUCCUUUUUUUUCUUUCCUUCUCUCAGAAAAAGAAAAAAAAGAAAUCAACUUGUAGACCUCUAGAUCCAGGUCGGCAAUGUCUCUCUCAUUGCUCGAUUUCCUUCCCUUCUCUCCCUCCCUCCCUCCCUUCCUCCCUUCCUUCCUUUCUCCCUUCCUGCUUUCCUCCGUUCCUGCCUUCCUCCCUUCCAAAAAAAAAAAAAGAAAAAGAAAAAAAUUGAUAGAAACCAAUGUCCAAAUCCAGCUUCUCCUAGUACUUCACAGUGACUUAGAGAUGCAUUUUCUAAUUGAGAGUUGUAAGAAGUGAAGAAAUUGAGCUUUAGGUAGUUAUUUUCACUAUAAACAAAUUUUUGAAAUAAGUUUUUUUUUUUUUUUUUUGGUGAAGAGGAAUUGUUUGCAAAACAAAACAAAGUAUACCAUGUGUUUGUGUGUAAACACACUCCCACAAAAGUUAAAGCUGGGUUCAAGAGACACUAAUAAAAGUCAAUGGCAAAAUAAUAAAUUGAACCUUAGUGUUUCUGUGGCUCAAGAGUAAAUGUUAAAGCAUAAUUUGUUAAAUACAAAUAGCAUCACUGGCAUAAGUUUUUUUUUUUUCUGGUUGUGUUUUUAUCGGCACCAUUUUUAAAAAAUCUGUAAUGGUAAACCAUUUAAGGGAAGGAAGGUGAUUCAUUUUGUUGAUGGACAUUGUGUUAGUUUAUUGAGUGUUGUUGUAAAAGAAUGCCUGAGGUUAGGUAAUUUAUAAAGAAAGAGAUUUAUUUGGCUCAUAGUUUUGCAGACUGUCUAAGAAGCAUGGCACUAGCAUCUGUGUAAGUUGAGGGCUUCAGGCAGCUUCCACUCAUGGUGGAAAGUGAAGUGGAGCACGCAACUGCACAGAUCAUAUGGCAAGAGAAGAAGCAAGAGAGAGAGGGGAGGUGCCAGUGUCUUUUUAACAAUCAGCUCUAGGACAAACUCUUGUGGAAACUAAUAGAACUUACCAACCUCCCCUCCUCCAGAGAGGGCAUUAAUCUAUUCUGAGAGAUCUGCUCCCACGACCAAAACGCUUUCACCUCCAACACUGGGGAUCCAGUUUCAACAUGAGAUUUGGAGGGUCAAACAAACCAAACUAUAACAGACAUCAUUUUAAACUCAGAGCAUACAGUAUAAUCUGGAUUCAGUUAUGUUUAUUUGACUCCCCAUUAUGCAUAGAAGAAUUAGCCUAUGGGUGAUAAUCCCUGAAUGUUUCAAAUUCUCCUCAAUUCCUCUAGUAUUAUUCUUAAAUAUUUAUUGAUCAUUAAGAUAGAUAAGAAAAAUUUAAAAAGUAAUAUUUUUGCAUUCUCUACCUACCAUCCAGUAGUAUGAAGGAUGUAAGCAAAACAAAUCAUGUUGAGUUAAUUAUUUUUAACUUCAUCUUUCAUCACUUCCAAAUCCUUGUCCGCUCUUAGGGUUUCAGACACACGUCCAAGUGGAUGAUUUCCAAAUCUCCAUUUUCAGUUCUGAUCUCUCACCCAAACUUUCAUCUGGAAUUUACAGUAGGCUUUGAGACCUUUAUAACUUAUGGUCCUGCCAACUCCUGAUAUUCAAUAGCCCCCAAGCUAGAAUCAGUACAUUUCCACUCAUAUCUUUCCUUUUUUAAAAAAAUCACACUUCGUUUCUGGAACUAUAUUUUCUGCUUUGACUCAGGCUAAAGACCUUGAAAUGAUCCUUAAUUCUGCCUUUACAUCAAUCUGCCUAACUAAAUUGUCAUUAGGUUCUAACACGCUUUCAUGUGCAGAGCAUGGCCCAUUUUUCUUUAGGCUCCUUACUUCAUCUUAUCCUCUCCAUUGUCACCAGAUGAGUGGACUGAUACAAACAUGAGGGAGCUGGCUGAGUUGUCCUCUUCAACAUUUCAAUCAACAGCUUAGACAAAAUGUACGUGUCACUAUCAAAUAGAAGUUAGAUACAAGUCUGAACAGAAUAAUAAAUAAUUUGCUCGAUAGAAUUAGGAACUGCAAAACACAGACUUCCCAUUUCCUUGCUUUGUAACGUCUCGAUGGUUCUCCAUUGCCUUCAGCCUGGAGUCUGUGUCUCUCAGUCUGGAGCAGCAGUCGCUGUUUCUUGUCAUUGUGUUCCAUGUGCUCUGUGCUGUCCAACAAUUUUUUUUAUGUGUCCUGCCUUUUCACAGCUUAAAACUUUCCUCAAGGGGCUCCAUCAUCUGGAAAUAACCUCCUCCUCCAUGUCUUCUUGAUUCCAAAAAAUUAGUACCCAUCUUUCAAGGACUAGCUUGAAUGACAUAUUCUCUCGGUAGUUUUCCUCAAUGCCCUUGAUCCUCUAACUAGUGUAAAAAUGUGUCCUCCUCUUUGUUCCAAAGGUAAUUUUUCAUAAGCAUUCCAUGAGAGUGUUAAUCCUUUUGUGGUUUCUUUCUUUCUCAGUGUCCUUGAUGUUUGUGUGAGCCGUCCGAUGGCAGGAAACUUUCUCUCUAAAUUCUUAGCACCCAGAAGGAGGAGGUACACCCAAUGCGUGCAUCUUAACUCAAAGAAAGGAAAGAAGAAAAGAAAGAAAGGAGUGAAGGAGAAGAAUGAAGAAGAAGAAGGGAGAGAGAACGACUUUGUGACCGGGAAAUUUGGAAGCCAAGCAUAGGACACCAGGAGAGGAUGGAUGGAAGCAAUAUUUAUCAGAAUUAGCAUUGGAAUCUCUGACUCAUAUCUGGAAUAUCAUCAGCCAUUAGCACCAGACAAAAUGUAGCCACUGACAAAUCUGGGAUGCUAAAUAUGUUUUACAGGUGAGCUACAGGUGGUUGGUGGUAUGAAUGCAUCUGUCAGUCUUGUUCCUGGGAAUCCAUUUGUGACAGCUCUGCCACACCAUUUGACAAUAAGUGACUCAAGUUUAAGAACACUAACUGCUUUCUUUUCCAUCUCUCCGAAAGUAUAUUUAAAACACACUUUCCUGACUCAUACAUUUACUUAUACAGGUCACCACCAGACCUAGCCUUGAAAGAAGUAGAUGCUGAUGGGUUAAUAAAAAAGGAGUAUCAUGAGAAGUGGUGACCAAAGCCCUCUGCUCAAAAGUUAUCCUAAAAACUAGAGUUGACAUUGUUGUGAAGAAUAUUAAAAUGGAACCUUUCCUGUUAUCUAAUAUUGGCUGAAAUUCCAGAGCCAAGAACUCUAAGUGCCCUCAUUCUAAAAUGAGUUGCAGGAUCUUUGCAGACAUUCACAGAAGGAGACUUCAAAUUGCCUUGUUGACUCCUAAGUAUCACCCACCCUAGGAAAAACCUACUCUGCCAGAGUUUGGUGCAGCAGGAUAAUGAGUGCUUCCCUUGGAAAGUGUGACCUCAAAGAUGGCUUUGGUUCUCCUGGACUCGGCAUGAAAGAAACAGCCACAAGACAAUGUGAAUCCAACAAAUAACAUCUGUGGAAGUGGACUUCCAGAAAUCAGGCAUCAAGUCAUAAGCAGCUGGUCAAAAGAGGCAGCACCUAUGUUGGAAAAUGUCAGUGAGAAGUCUCAGGAAGUGUAUAAUAGUGUGUGUAUGUGAGUCUCCAAAAACUUUCCUAAUGGUUCAUGGAAGAAGGCAAGAAUUCGAAUAUUCAGUGAAACCCAAAGGUCACUUCUGUCUCAUAAAUCUCUCUCAACCUGUUUUCAACCUUGGAGAAGACAGUGGCUCAGGAUGUUGGGAAAAAUGGUGUGGAAAAGUGAGUGGGGACAUUGGUAAAAGUUGAACUGUGUCUUUCCUGAGACAGAGAAGCAGAGAUAUCAGAAAUGUUCAUUUGAAUGAAAGUUUGGGUGUGGAAUAUUAAAUGGAACUACCCUUUCUAUUAACUAAAAUAUGUGACUGUUUAUUCAUACCUGAGAGUGACUGGAAAAGCUAGAGGACCUGAAAUAGAUGACUCAUGGGUAGGAAAAAAUGAACAAACAGCUCUAAAUGAUAUAGAAAAAAGAAAUAAAGUACUUUGGGAAUUUCAUCUCUAA